UACGGAGGGUGCAAGCGUUGCUCGGAAUUAUUGGGCGUAAAGCGCGUGUAGGCGGCUAUUUAAGUCUGGUGUGAAAGCCCGGGGCCUAACCCCGGAAGUGCACUGGAUACUGGAUGGCUAGAGGACGGGAGAGGAGAGUGGAAUUCCUGGUGUAGGGGUGAAAUCCGUAGAUAUCAGGAGGAACAUCGGAAGCGAAGGCGGCUCUCUGGCCCGUAUCUGACGCCCAGACGCGAAAGCGUGGGUAGCAAACAGG
rnacentral:rRNA from 1 species